GACGAACGCUGGCGGCGUGCUUAACACAUGCAAGUCGAACGGAAAGGCCCUUCUUUUGUGGGGUGCUCGAGUGGCGAACGGGUGAGUAACACGUGAGUAACCUGCCCUUGACUUUGGGAUAACUUCAGGAAACUGGGGCUAAUACCGGAUAGGAGCUCCUGCUGCAUGGUGGGGGUUGGAAAGUUUCGGCGGUUGGGGAUGGACUCGCGGCUUAUCAGCUUGUUGUUGGGGUAGUGGCUUAACAAGGCUUUGACGGGUAGCCGGCCUGAGAGGGUGACCGGCCAAAUUGGGACUGAGAUACGGCCCAGACUCCUAAGGGAGGCAGAAGUGGGGAAGAUUGCACAAUGGGCGGAAGCAGGAUGCAGCAACGCCGCGUGAGGGAUGACGGACUUCGGGUUGUAAACCGCUUUCGCCUGUGACGAAGCGUGAGUGAAGGUAAUGGGUAAAGAAGCACCGGCUAACUACGUG
rnacentral:rRNA from 1 species